ensembl:lncRNA
CGCUUGGGAAGGCCGGAUUAGAUUUAACCAAAAACAUCAAGGGCGUCUUCGUUGUGUAGUCGCUCCUCAAGGACCUAUAAUCGGUAACAGGUGUUUUUGCCUUGAACAGCUCGCGUCCACUGGCAUCGUCAAAGGAUUACCACCUCGGUGCCCAGCCAGUCUCUCCUUUGCCACACAGGCCUCGCUUCCCAUCUGAGCCAGGCGGAGAGCGUCAGUAGCAAAACGGAAAAACCGUGCUCAGGGUUUGUGGCACACCAGCGCUCGGCAGCCACCUCAGGAAGAACAGGAAGUUUGACCCAAGGGCUUGUGACUGCAGGGUCAGACUGGACAAGGUCAAGUAAGGGCAGGUAUGCAUGUGUGUCCGUUCAUGUACAUGUCGAGAUUACAGGAGCACCUGCAGAUUAGCUUCCAUCUUGCUCUCUUGGAUGUAAGGGCUCUGUGAUGGAGUUCUGUUAAGAUGAAGGCUGUGGUUAGAAGUGGAGAAAGGAGUGAGAUGUAUGUAUUUUAGGAAGCCAUAACUCUGAUAAACAUUGCCCAGUGUUUUAUAAAUUAAUAAGCACUCACACCCCUGAUAUCUUCUUGCACCUGGGUGUGGAUUGUGCGUUUUAUUUGUUUGCCUCGUAUUAAAUUAACAGUGUGUUUUCCUAAUAUUUGAUUACAAGCUAGUGUUCUUGUGAAACCAACACUGCAGUUAUUAGAUCCCACUUACAAAGAUAAAUAAUGGCACCAUUCUUUUAUAGAUACAGUUGAAAUCCAGACUGUGGGAUAAAGGCUCAAAGUGACUUAACCUGAUAUGUGCAGGUGAAGAAUCACGGUCCAGUCGAUCAGUCUUGGUGGCCAGCUAAACGAGUAGCAGCAUGUUGAUGUUGGUCUUUAGGCACUGAUGUGAGCCUACGCCAGCCAUUUCCAUGUAAGCUCUUAUAGCACUCAUGCAUGACAAUCCAUGCCUGCUACAUGAGCAUACUGCUACGCUGUACUCAGAUGUAAUUCACCUCCGAAAUAACAGUGGCACACCGAAGUUUGAUCUGAAAAAAAAGAAUGCAAAAACUAGCUGCUGUGCUACUGACGGGUGACGGGUAUUCUGGAGUUAAAGAUGGCAUUCACGCACAGUUCCUUUCCAUAAAGUAA